AUGGCAAAGUAUUGGUGGAGCAGUUCGAUCAACAAGAGGUCUCUUCACUGGAUCUCUUGGAAGGAAUUGGCAAAACCAAAAUGUCAUGGAGGGAUGGGUUUUCGCGACCUCCACAUAUUCAAUCUGGCACUUCUCGGGAAACAUGGUUGGCGCUUCAUGACUAAUCCUACCUCACUUUGUGCCAGAGUUUUGAUGGGUAGAUACUUUCCAGACACUGAUUUCCUACAGGCUAUAGCACCAAAGGCCGCUUCGGCUACUUGGCGGGCAAUCAUCUCUGGAAGGGAAGCUUUAUUAGCGGGGAUUGUUCAGCGUGUUGGGGGUGGUACUUCAAUUAAUCUGUGGACAGAUAAAUGGAUCCCCACAACACUAACCAGAGCCCCCUGCUCAGCCGUCGGGCACAAACAUCACUCAAGUUAG
rnacentral:rRNA from 1 species